ACGAACGCUGGCGGCGUGCCUAACACAUGCAAGUCGAGCGGAGACAGUGAGUAGCUUGCUAUGAGCUGUUUUAGCGGCGGACGGGUGAGUAACGCGUGAGCAACCUUUCCCAGACAGGGGAAUAACACACCGAAAGGUGUACUAAUACCGCAUAAGACCACGGAAUCACAUGGUUCUGAGGUAAAAGAUUUAUCGGUUUGGGGUGGGCUCGCGUCCGAUUAGGUAGUUGGUGAGGUAACGGCCCACCAAGCCGACGAUCGGUAGCCGACCUGAGAGGGUGAUCGGCCACAUUGGGACUGAGACACGGCCCAAACUCCUACGGGAGGCAGCAGUGGGGAAUAUUGGGCAAUGGGGGGAACCCUGACCCAGCAACGCCGCGUGGAGGAAGAAGGUUUUCGGAUCGUAAACUCCUGUCCUUGGAGACGAGUAGAAGACGGUAUCCAAGGAGGAAGCCCCGGCUAACUACGUGCCAGCAGCCGCGGUAAUACGUAGGGGGCAAGCGUUGUCCGGAAUAAUUGGGCGUAAAGGGCGCGUAGGCGGCUCGGUAAGUCUGGAGUGAAAGUCCUGCUUUUAAGGUGGGAAUUGCUUUGGAUACUGUCGGGCUUGAGUGCAGGAGAGGUUAGUGGAAUUCCCAGUGUAGCGGUGAAAUGCGUAGAGAUUGGGAGGAACACCAGUGGCGAAGGCGACUAACUGGACUGUAACUGACGCUGAGGCGCGAAAGUGUGGGGAGCAAACAGGAUUAGAUACCCUGGUAGUCCACACUGUAAACGAUGAAUGCUAGGUGUAGGGGGUAUCGACCCCUUCUGUGCCGCAGUCAACACAAUAAGCAUUCCGCCUGGGGAGUACGGCCGCAAGGUUGAAACUCAAAGGAAUUGACGGGGGCCCGCACAAGCGGUGGAGCAUGUGGUUUAAUUCGACGCAACGCGAAGAACCUUACCAGGUCUUGACAUCCACUUAAACUUACAGAGAUGUAAGGUGUGCUUGCACAAAGUGAGACAGGUGGUGCAUGGUUGUCGUCAGCUCGUGUCGUGAGAUGUUGGGUUAAGUCCCGCAACGAGCGCAACCCUUAUCCUUUGUUGCCAGCGGUUAGGCCGGGAACUCAAAGGAGACUGCCAGUGAUAAACUGGAGGAAGGUGGGGAUGACGUCAAAUCAUCAUGCCCUUUAUGACUUGGGCUACACACGUACUACAAUGGCGUUAAACAAAGAGAAGCAAGACCGCGAGGUGGAGCAAAACUCAGAAACAACGUCCCAGUUCGGACUGCAGGCUGCAACUCGCCUGCACGAAGUCGGAAUUGCUAGUAAUCGUGGAUCAGCAUGCCACGGUGAAUACGUUCCCGGGCCUUGUACACACCGCCCGUCACACCAUGGGAGUUGGGAGUGCCCAAAGCCGGUGAGGCAACCGCAAGGAGCCAGCCGUCUAAGGCAAGACCAAUGACUGGGGUG
rnacentral:rRNA from 1 species